UUUUCAGCACAAUUCGUUCUCCCUCCCAAAGUUUCUCCUCGAUCCCCUGAACCCAAACCAAUCGGCGGCAGCCCUCACGGCGAAAACCCUAAUUACUAACUGGCUGCAACGCUCUCCUCACCUAACCGGCGGCUACAAACCCUAAUCACCUAACCGGCGACUACAAACCCUAAUCGGAGCUUGAAUUGAUCGAAAAAUAGAGGUGAUGUUGCAGUUGUUCCAGCUUUAGGCGGUUGUUCACUCACCACCAUUUGUUCGAUUGAUGAGGAAGGGCUGGUUGCCUGAUUAGGGUUCCGACAACUCCGUGUUGAUCUAUCCCCAGGCUAUAAGUGGCAACAUAGCAGUCAAAUGGUGAUCAAUUGACCAGAGGAGUUGAGCGGUCAAGAGGCGGGCAGCCAACAGUGCGUUAGGUGGUUGGGUG